GGCCUCCCUCUGUGGGGAGAUCGAUUGUGGGGCUCCCAGAUUGAUCACCCCACAGAGGGAGGCC
rnacentral:pre_miRNA from 1 species